rnacentral:lncRNA from 1 species
AUGAAAUUAGCACAGGCAACCGCGGCUGCCAGCAGCCUCACCGUGCCGAUGCUUUGCGCUCCCACCUGAGCCACUGCCCUGCUCUGUCCUUGGAGGAUGAGUUGGGUGCCCAUGAGUCUCCCUGCUAUUCCUAGGAGUUUACUCAGGAUCUGCAGGAGGAUGUGCAGCCUGGAGCUCACCACUACCCUUCUCUUCAGACCGCUGGGAGGUGGAAGUGCUGAUAGAAACACUGCGCUCCUCUGGGCCGUGCAGGCAAUAGGAGGUGGAGCUCCUUGCCCAGAUAUCUUGCUGAUAUCCCUCGCCAUAUGGGAUGUGUGUGGUGCUGCUUCCUCCUGGCUGUCACUCGUGGGGUUCUGCCCCGGCUCCGAAGCUCCGUGCGUGGGAACAGCUCCUGGCUGGGGCUCAUCUCUGUCUGCAGGAGCUGCUCGGCCUCUUUCAGCACAUCUCAGUCUGUUUGGAGACAGUUCCCACAAGCAUCUCUUCUCCAGGUGUAGCGGCUUUCUCUCCCCCGUGUUUCAGCCGUGGUAUCACAUUAUUUAUGAGACAGACAGAAGUUGCAUUCAGCUGAGAGCCGGAGGCUUCUCUCGGUACAAAUCGCCCUGCAAUGCUGCUGUAUUUGGGAUGGAGAAAGGCAG